GCUAAAAAUGUGGUAUUAACAAUGUGUCACUUAUGUGAAUUGCGCAUUAGUUGAUGCUUAUCAAAACAAUAGGAAAUGUUACUGACCCCCCCCCCCCAAAAUGGCGAGUAGACAUUCUGUUUUGGCACCCACAACCCAGGUCCCAGAAACGAUUUGGCUCCCAGCUUUUCUAUCCCAGUUUCUAACAUUGAUAGGGAUGUAUCCAAUGUUAGAACAGAUCCACUGAAAUUAAUUGGCAUGACUCACAUAGGUCAACUAAUUUCAGUGGGUCCACUCAGACCUUGUGGGGGGCUGGACUAUAUAUUUUUUUUUGGGGGGGGGGGAAUGAACCAAUUCCUAUGCCGCACAAAUAACCCAGAGAUGCAUUUUAAAUAAAAGCACAAAUUCUGCUCAUGUAAAAACACACUGAUUCCUGGACCGUCCACGGGCCGGAUUUAGAAGGCGAUUGGGCCGGAUCCGGCCCCUAGUUUGCCUACCCAUGGUCCUAAGCUUUUAUUUUUAAGGUCCUCUCCCCACCUGCUUUAUGUGUUACUGGGGUGAACUUGUUUAUUAUUUUUCUCUGAAUGUACUGAUUAUUAACUUACAGUCAUACCUCGGUUUAAGUACGCCUUGGUUUGAUUAUUUUCAGUUUAAGUACUCAAACGGCCCGUCUGGAACGGAUUAAUCCACUUUCCAUUACUUUCAAUGGGAAAGUACAGACUUCCAGAACCAAUUGUGUUUGUAAACAGAGGUACCACUGUAUAAUAAAAAUUGUGUGUGUGUGUGUGUAGAAUCUGCCCUGUUUUAAGACACUGGAUACUUCUGUUUAGAUUAAAGAUAAUCCAAUUUGUUUUUCCCCUCGGGGCAUUGCCGGAGAGGAAUGGAUUUAAAAGUGGGCAGCUGGGUAUCGAGUUUCCUUAAAAGACUUGGAGCUGGCCUGGUGGAUCUGGCAGCUGACUCCAGACUUCAGUGUGACACAGCAGCUUCGUCUUUAUCAGCAAAGAGAACAAAAACAUCCCUUGUUGUCCCCUCAAACUGAGGUAUAGAACAAGAGGUUGGCUCAAGUUUUCCUCGGUUGGGGACAUGGACUCUUUUCCCUGCUGCACCUCUUAUGGUUGGCUCAAGUGGAUCUAAGCAACUGGAAAGAAGCAAGUUCUUCCUUCAACAGGAGGACGGCAAAAGAAAUGGUGGCAGAGAACUGAAGUAAACUGACAUUAUAUUAACUGUCCCAGAUUCUUUUAUAGUGAGAAAUUCACGGGAGAACUGGUACCAUUCCUUAGAUAAUGGAAUACAACCAAUUUAUUUGAAAAUGUAAGUCAAAAUUUGCUCAAUGUGGUAUAUAAUGCUGAUUAUGUUAAACAGAUUAUAGGAGAUAAUUCUGAUGAUUGCUAGUUCUUUGAAUCCCAUUUGAUGGCUACUCUUUUUUAAAAAUAAAUUAUAAGAAUAAUUGAACGGCCCUUUGCCAGACAUCAUAUCUGUUCCCUUCAUAUGUUUUGCCAUUUCUUUGUUAGUUUUUUUAAAAUAGACAUUAUAAAACUGCACAGUUCCCCUUUCCCAAAUCACCAUGGUUGAAUUUUCCAAAACUGGUUUUUAGUAUCUCUUCAGUGAGACUAACAUCCUAUUUUAGAUUUCACUUGUGACACCACUGCCUCGCCAGGUCUACCACCAAAUUCCA